rnacentral:misc_RNA from 1 species
AGAACAAAGAAGUGGUAUUGU